rnacentral:rRNA from 1 species
CUUGGUCAUUUAGAGGAAGUAAAAGUCGUAACAAGGUUUCCGUAGGUGAACCUGCGGAAGGAUCAUUAACGAGUUUUGAAAUGGGUUGUAGCUGGCCUUACGAAGGCAUGUGCACACCCUGCUCAUCCACUCUCAUACCCCUGUGCACCUAUUGUAGGCUUGGUGGGAUGACUGGUGUUACAGCCAGUUUGAAAGCCUUGCCUAUGUUUCAAUACACACGCUUCAGUUUAAGAAUGUAACCUUUGCGUCUAACGCAUGAAAUACAACUUUCAGCAACGGAUCUCUUGGCUCUCGCAUCGAUGAAGAACGCAGCGAAAUGCGAUAAGUAAUGUGAAUUGCAGAAUUCAGUGAAUCAUCGAAUCUUUGAACGCACCUUGCACUCCUUGGUAUUCCGAGGAGUAUGCCUGUUUGAGUGUCAUGGUAUUCUCAACCUUCAAAGCUUUUGCAAUGAAGGCUUGGAUGUGGAGGUCGUGUUGGCGCAAGUCAACUCCUCUUAAAUACAUUAGUGUGAAUCUUACGGAUCGCCUUCAGUGUGAUAAGUAUCUACGCUGUGGUGUUGAAGUAUAUAGGCAUUCAUGCUUCUAAUCGUCUCUUGACUGAGACAAUUACUUGACAAUCUGACCUCAAAUCAGGUAGGACUACCCGCUGAACUUAAGCAUAUCAAU